GGUUUGAGGUGAGACUCACGGGCUGGAGUGUUGACGGAAAUCUCUAUGGGAAGCACGCUUGGGUUAUUUGACAGUUCGCCGGUAGCGGGGAAACAAAAUGGCUUCGCCAGACAGGUCAAAAUUUAGGAAUCUUUUUGUCAAAUCAAAAGAAGAGACCAAGGGUGAUUUCUCAGUUCAGCUAAAUAAUGUCACCUAAAAAAAUGCAGGAUCAGAUAAUGCAUUCUGCUACUUUGACUUGGUUUAGUAUGCGAUUCCAUCAUCCUUAGAUUAUGUCAAAGAGAUCAAAUUAAGGUCAGAUGAUAUCCCUAUUUGUUGGAACUGAUGUGUUUGAUUCCAGUUAGCUUUCUCUCAUUGGUAGGUUAUAUUGUGUUUCCCUUUACUCAUUGGGAGGUUAUGUUGUGCCUCUUUAAAUCUCUAAGAAAUUAUUCUCUAUGGCUGGCAGUCUCCGUGAACAGUAAUACAAGAUACAAUACUACCUAGAGGUUGCUCGCAUGUCCAUGAUCACGACCCUACAUAGAGAAGUUGGAAACUUGGAAUGACAAGCCAACUUUGCAGCACACGGAAACUAUUACUCAGUUCAUUAUGUGGAUGCCAAAGGAUCAGGAAGGAGCGUGUUAUUGAAACAUCGAGCAGUGACUUUCAUCAUCAAGGCUGCAAUGCCGAAGGCACUCAACUCAAAAUGGCAGGGGGAAGGAAUGUGUGGAGGACGUUGAGGGACUGGCAGGUGGCUUUAUACGUGUUCAUAGUUUUCAUGACGAUCAAGGUGAUGCCCUUGUAUGUCUACGUGGUAAGAUAUUGCCUUGGGCUUGUUACUGUUUUUAGUGGUAUCCGUGGGCUUGUAUUGCUAUGUAUUGGGUCAGUUAAGAGUAUUUCAUUACCUAAAAUGUUCUUCUAAUCUGGAUUACUCUUAAAUCUAGAAAUGGCUACUUUCAAAUUUUAACUGUCCUAAUGAGUAAAUCCUAUUAAGUGUCCCAAAUACAUGGUUGUUAUAAUUUCCUUCUAAAACCGUUUUGAUAAUAGAUUGACCUCCACAUGUGAGAGGAUCAAAAUUUCACGUAAUAUCAUAAAGGCUGGGCUCACAAUAGACUGUCGUUAUAUUGCAAGGUAGCGAGGAUACAAGCUAUGGUUGUAGUCACAAAAUGAACGAUCAUGGUCAAGAGGUUAGUUUGUAGUGUGGACAAAACUCUAUUAUACUGUUAUUUUGAUGGUGGAUAACGCACCAUCUAGAUCUAGAGCAGCUGGUCAAGGAAGCCACAGAGCUUGGAGUUUAAGAAGUUGAGAAGACUUUCGGUUAUUGAAAAUGAUUACUCCCAUAUGUAUAUUGUCAUAAUAACUAAUUUUAUGUUAAAAAAUAGGCUGCUCAGGCCUAUGGCAAUCAAUCUGCAUUCUGCAAUAGAACUUGCUCGUAUCUGGUUUUUUGUCUUUUCCCCUCAAUCAAUCCACUGGUAUAUCUGUUUACUAUUUUCGUAGUCAAUAUAUCUUUUUUGCCUUUUUAUUUUGAACCCUGCUUGCCUCCCAUUGUGAUUUGUAGCAUGAAGGAUGAGAUUGACCAGCACUACCUAAGCAACAUUAUUGUUUGCAAAUGACAGUGCUAUAAUUUUAAAAUAACAUCUCAAAUGACAGCAGAUAAUCUGCACCGAAGAGGGUGCCCAAACUGCGGGUCCUGUGAGCUAUGUCACGCAGCUCCUGAGACAAAUACCGAUCUCUUUGUCCACUGCAGUUUCACCUCCCAGGUCUGGCAACUAAUCAGAGCAUGGUCAGCGGUAGAUUUUCCUAUUCCAGGCUCUUACUUUCUCAACAGAAGAUUGGUGGACAAAAGUGAGGAAGAGGGUGCCGAAGAUCAACAGGUGUGAUUUUGACAUAAUUUCUAAACUGGUACAUUGGAAGAUAUGGAAGGAGAGGAAUUCUAGAAGUUCUGAGAACUUACAACAUUAGGCAGAGGAUGUCUUUGUCGCGUUUAGGAAGGAGAUAGCUAUAUGGCCAUCGGCUGGAAGAGUGAGUUCUCUCUAGCUGACCUGCCAGCGUGGAGUUCAGUCAUACUGUGCUCUUUGUCGAUCCAGCGCAUGUCUAGGAUCUACUCCUUGUUUUGCUCCAUCUCGAAGCUGUUGUAACACCUCUGUACUCUCCUUCUUAAUCUUAAUAAAGUUCGUCCUAUGGCCUUUCAACAUA